rnacentral:snRNA from 1 species
AUAAUUAUAUACUACAUAUGCUAAAAUUGGAAUACCAAAGAAAAUUAGCAUGGCUCCCAUGCAAGGAUGAUGUGGAAAUUCAUGAAGUUUUAGAGGCAGUC